AAAAUUACUUUGAAGCACCUAAACUGGAAUUCUUAAUUAUCUCAAUUAACUUCUUUACAAUUCAUAACUAAUGCUCUGAUGUGGCGAAUCAGACACUGCUGAGUCCAAAAACUGUAGCUGAAUAAUUAGUCCCAUUUUCUUUGAGGAUACAAUUAACUCUGAGUGUUAUUGCAAACUGCUUCUGUACCUCUUCAUUGGCUAUUUAAAUGAGUACAUUGCCUGUGGCUACUUCCAGCAGGAUGGUGCCACAGCAUACCUGGCUCAUAUUUCCAUGGGUGUGUGAGGCUGACUGUAAGGCAGUGAAAACCCAGAAAACCACAAUUCACAUAUUUAUCACUGUGAAAACCUUAAAUCUCGCUGUGAGGGUAGGUGCCUCCCUACAGUCCUACUUACUGUACAGGAUAAUGAUACCUUCAUGUACCACAGACAACACUGUGGGGAAUGCUUUCAAAACACUUAUCCUUAACGAUGUACUGACUAUAAACAUCCCUCAACACGAUCAAGACAAAGACCUCAUAUGACAUCAUUUUCAGUGACAAGUGCUCUGCUAUGUCAGUGGCAAAACAUAAAGUGUAAAAUCUUGGGGCUCUGAGGAGUUGCUCAUGACCAAGAACCAUGUUUAGGAAAGUCUUACAGUCAACUCAUUUUGCACAUCAAACAGAAGCAAACUUCAAUGUCUAAUGUUGUCUGUUACAAGAAUUCUGAAUCCCAACAUGAUGGACAAACUUUCCAUCUUCCCAAAUUCAAUGUUGUGAUUUGUAAGCUAAAACGACUCCUCAUUUGCAGUAAAAUAUAUGAGAAUAUUUGAGUAAACACUUCGUUGGUCAGUGGACUGGCAGAGGCCUAGACUGAAACACCAAUUACAACAAACUCACCAGGGUUAAAAAUGUAAGAUAAAAUAUGCUGAGUCCAGUGCCAUACCUGACAUGCUGAAGCAAACAUGAGUAGAAAUACUAUGGAGACGUGUGUUUAAUAAAGAUGCAACAGGGUAACUCCAGCACGGAAAUUUCAAGUGUUCAUGUAUAAGACACAGAGUUGAGUCUUGUAGUGAAGAGUGAACCACACGUUAAGCAGUUUUCUGUUAAAAUACUUUUGAAUUACCCUGAAUAUUAACCAUGAAAAUUCAGUAUAUUUUAAAACAAAAAAUAAAUUAAUCAAUAAUUAAUACACGCUUAAUAACUUGUAACAGAAUGAAGAGGACUGGCAGGUCUGUCCAUGCUAAUAUUACAUGGCAAUGAUCUCACUGCAGAAGAUCAGGGGGUAAUGACAUCACCACAGAGGAUCAUCAAGUUACCUCAAAAGUUUUAACAUCCAUCAACUGAUACUACCAAUUGUACAAAAUUAAAAAUUACAAGCUUGAAGUAGCCUCCAAUGCCAUAACAUUACCAGAUUUCAUAAAAAUCCAUUCAGCUGUUCUCAAGUUAUUAUUUGGCAGAAUGAAAAGUUCAUAUAAGAACUGAAAAAUGCAACAGACAAGGAGUUCUUUUCUUAUGCAAAGUGCAAAGAAUACCUAGAGUAAAAAAAAGUAAAGCUGUCUAAGUAUACGCCAUGUAGGCGCUUGAGGCGGUAUAGAUCCUACUCAUUCUUGACUUCAGCAUUAGAUGUGGGUGAGUGGCCAGAGUCACGCCCCAGCCACGCUUUUACCCCGGGAGAGGACACUGGUACCCAUUAUAUAGGAAGCUGGGUGGGCCCCAGAACUGGUCUGGAUUUAGAGACUAGAGAAAAAAAUCAUCUGCCCCUGUCGCGGAUAGAACGGCGGCCAUCCAGUCCGUAACCUGUCACUAUGCUGACUGAGGGACAGGACAAGAGUAUUCAUGAAGGAGUACCCAAAGAGGCCUGUGCCUAAUAUGAAAAGAUGUCGGAUAUUCAAAGAAGUCCAUUUGAAAGCUAACACACCAAC